CCUACGGGUGGCAGCAGUCGAGAAUCAUUCACCAUGGGGGAAACCCUGAUGGUGCGACGCCGCGUGGGGUAAUGAAGGUCUUCGGAUUGUAAACCCCUGUCAUGUGGGAGCAAAUUAAUAAGAUAGUACCACAAGAGGAAGAGACGGCUAACUCUGUGCCAGCAGCCGCGGUAAUACAGAGGUCUCAGGCGUUGUUCGGAAUCACCGGGCGUAAAGCGUGCGUAGGCUGUUUCGUAAGUCGUGUGUGAAAGCCCCGGGCUCAACCCGCGGACGGCACAUGAUACUGCGAGACUAGAGUAAUGUAGGGGGGACCAGAAUUCUCGGUGUAGCAGUGAAAUGCGUAGAUAUCGAGAGGAACACUCGUGGCGAAGGCGGGUUCCUGGACAUAGACUGACGCUGAGGCGCGAAGGCCAGGGGAGCGAAAGGGAUUAGAUACCCUAGUAGUC
rnacentral:rRNA from 1 species